GACAGAGGUGCCGAGCGUUAGGCGGAAUCACUGGGCUUAAAGCGUGUGUAGGCGGGCGAUCAAGUACCUUGUGAAAUCCCACGGCUCAACCGUGGAACCGCUGGGUAUACUGGUUGUCUUGAGCCGGCUAGGGGCGAGCGGAACAGACGGUGGAGCGGUGAAAUGCGUAGAUAUCGUCUGGAACGCCGAAGGUGAAAACAGCUCGCUGGGGCCGCGCUGACGCUGAGUCACGAAAGCCAGGGGAGCGAACGGG
rnacentral:rRNA from 1 species